GGCUAANUACGUGCCAGCAGCCGCGGUAAUACGUAGNUCCCGAGCGUUAUCCGGAUUUAUUGGGCGUAAAGCGAGCGCAGGCGGUUAGAUAAGUCUGAAGUUAAAGGCUGUGGCUUAACCAUAGUACGCUUUGGAAACUGUUUAACUNGAGUGCAGAAGGGGAGAGUGGAAUUCCAUGUGUAGCGGUGAAAUGCGUAGAUAUAUGGAGGAACACCGGUGGCGAAAGCGGCUCUCUGGUCUGUAACUGACGCUGAGGCUCGAAAGCGCGGGGAGCAAACAGGAUUAGAUACCNUGGUAGUCCACGCCGUAAACGAUGAGUGCUAGGUGUUGGGUCCUCUCCGGGACUCAGUGCCGCAGCUAACGCAUUAAGCACUCCGCCUGGGGAGUACGACCGCAAGGUUGAAACUCAAAGGAAUUGACGGGGGCCCGCACAAGCGGUGGAGCAUGUGGUUUAAUUCGAAGCAACGCGAAGAACCUUACCAGGUCUUGACAUCCCUCUGACCGCUCUAGAGAUAGAGUUUUCCUUCGGGACAGAGGUGACAGGUGGUGCAUGGUUGUCGUCAGCUCGUGUCGUGAGAUGUUGGGNNAANNNNNNNCAACGAGCGCAACCCCUAUUGUUAGUUGCCAUCAUUCAGUUGGGCACUCUAGCGAGACUGCCGGUAAUAAACCGGAGGAAGGUGGGGAUGACAUCAAAUCAUCAUGCCCCUUAUGACCUGGGCUACACACGUGCUACAAUGGCUGGUACAACGAGUCGCGAGUCGGUGACGGCAAGCUAAUCUCUUAAAGCCAGUCUCAGUUCGGAUUGUAGGCUGCAACUCGCCUACAUGAAGUCGGAAUCGCUAGUAAUCGCGGAUCAGCACGCCGCGGUGAAUACGUUCCCGGGC
rnacentral:rRNA from 1 species